GUAAAGUUGACAUCGAAAUUUACGCGGACGAAGUCGCGGGCGUCCGCUAGUGUCUGAUAAAUGAUUAUAUAAACGGCGUCAUGCGGUUGGUACAAUAACUUGCAGAUAUAGAAAAGAUUGUGGAUAAUAAAGAAGUGGCAGAGAUUUUACUGUCAGAUCUACCUCAAGAAUAUGAUGUUUGUUGUAUCCAGCCCUGAGACAGCAUGUUUAGCCAAUAGCUUGACAAGCGAGGUGAUUAGAAUGCGACUACUACAAGAUCAUCGGUGAAGUACUAACACCAACUCAACAGCUUACAUCACAAACAAGAAAAAAGGCCCCAUUGUCAGCUGUACAUAUUGCAGGAAAAGCAAUAAUACAGUUCAGCGCUGUUUCAAGAGCAAGCGCAACCAAAAUAAUCAAAACGAGAAGAAAGAACACACCAUGGUUGUUUCGGCAUAUUCAGUGACAACUGCUGCUGAUGACUUUAUUAUAGACUCUGGUGCGUCUUGUCACAUGGUGAAGGAUGACAAGCUAGUGAUAGACGCCAAGGAUAGAAGUUGUAACAUCUCUGUAGCAAACGGCCAAAAUAUUUAAAAAACAAAGAGCCAAAUAGUUGCGUUUCUUGUCUUACCGGUAAGGAGGCAUGAGUCAUCUUAUCCCCGGUCAAGUACAAAACAUGCUACUUCUCCGUUGGACCUGAUCCAUAGUGACUUAUGUGGCGCAAUCCAAGUCAGCAGAUGGGGUGGAGCUCACUUCUUGCUUACCUACACUGAUGACUGUACCAGAAAAACCUUUGGUUACCUUAUGAAGAAUUAAUCCAAGAUGUGACUUUAAGCCAACCAGUGCUGCCAGUGAAGAUUCUGCAGAGGACAUUGACGAUGAUUGUGAGGUGAUAAAUCGAAUAAACAAAGUCUAAAAGAUGAUGUUUAUAGCUAUAGACAAUUAUUAAGAUUUUUAAUGUAUUUAUCUGUCUGUACUCCACCUGAUAUAUCAUAUGCUUGCAGUUAACUUAGUCAAUACAUUACAUGUUUUGAUAUAGAUCAUUGUCGUGCUGCUAAAAGUGUUCUAAGGUAUUUGGCAGGUACCAAAAAUUAUGGACUUUGUUAUUCUAAAGUAAAUAAUUUAAGUGUAGAUGUUUUACUGAUGCAGAUUGGGCUAAAGAUCUGUGAUCGUAAAUCCUACACAAGUUUAGUCAUUAAAUUGGGUGGCAACGUUUUCAACUGGGAAUCUAGAAAACAGUGUUGCAUUGCCUUGUCUAUUAUGAAGGCUGAGUAUUUGGCAGUUAGUGAUGUAUGUAAAGAUAUAUGUUUUGUUCAGAACUUCUUAGUUCUCAGAAAUUGCUGCUAGUAAAGGAGUACUCAUAUAAAUGAACAAAACACAUAGAUUUGCACUAUCAUUUUGUAAAAGAUCUUGUACAAAAAGGUAUAAUAAAUGUAAAUACUUUACAUUUAUUAUACCAACAGAAAAAAUGUUAGCGGAUGUGUUAACAAAGCCUUUAUUUUGUAAUAAACAUUAUAAUUGUGUGAGAGAGAUAAAUCUCAAAGAAAUCAAAUAGUGUCAGUUUAGGUUAAUAUCGAAGGUUUCACAUCUGAUGUCAUAGUUUGUAGUAUGUGUUUGCAUAUUUACUAGGAUAAAUACACGUAUUUUCUUUUAUAUUAGUAGGUAUACUAGCGGACGUCCAUAUGAAACCCUACUACUACCCUACCCUACUCUCACUCUACAGCUACCCUACCAUACAGGGGAUGAGUAGGGACUCAACCCUACCCCUACCCUACCCCUAACCUCCUCCUACAGACCUCUACAGAUUUAUUAUAAGUAUAGAUAAAGACAUAUUAAUUAUGAUACUUGUUUUGUUUGUAAAAGUAUAAGAAGGAGUGUUGGAAAUAUUGUCUAUGCGUCUACAACUCGUUUAUAAUUGUUUAUGGAAACACUGAUCUGUCAUCUAUGUAAGCUUGUCAUAAGCUCUCUCUAACCAGCCAUGCGGUGCAAACCCUUAGCCCAUAUUGUUGUAAAGUUUAUUUCAAUAAAAGCAAGUUUGAUUCUUGAAUUGAUUUGUUUUAUCAUGCUCAACUCGCUGAUGUUGCCCUGCGACAAUAUCUAUACACAUAUACACAUAUCUAAUUUUACGAGAAACUAAUUAUUAUGAUUAUAUGUAUAAAAACAUAAAAAAAAAACCAGAUAGUCGACCUAUCUGGUUUUUUUUAUAUAUAAGUUAGUCGUAUUUAUAUAAUUUUGUGGAAUCUUCCUCAUAUAAAACCUCAAUAGCUCAACGGUAAGAGCGGUUGGACUCAUCACCGAGGGGUGGUGGUUCAAUCUUCACCCUGUUGGUCUAUUGUCGUACCCACUCCUCGUACAGUCUUUCCUGACUAGUUGGAGGGGAAUGCGAAUAUUGGUCAUAUUAUAUAAAAUAUAGCAAAUAUUCCUUUUUUUUUUUU